CAUAUAGUGGGUUGGGCUCAGAGGGAAAACUGCUUCCUCACUGCAGGUUCCACAAACCAAAUUGUAAUAUCUUCAUAGGGUUACAUUACUCAUGGAUGUGUGUCUGUAAAGAGCUGGUGCUGAUGUGCAGUUUGCAAAAAAUGGGAUUUAUAAACUUACCAACCCUUGGUGAGAUAUUGCCUUACUGAAUGGCCAUUAAGCUGAAGAGGACAAAGUGGAGAUGUCUGUUGACUAUGAUCAAAAGAGUUACUCGGUUUUUGGAAAGGAGAAUAAAAGAUUUCAGAGAAUGA